rnacentral:rRNA from 1 species
UACGAAGGGGGCUAGCGUUGUUCGGAAUUACUGGGCGUAAAGCGCACGUAGGCGGGUCGUUAAGUCAGGGGUGAAAUCCCGGAGCUCAACUCCGGAACUGCCUUUGAUACUGGCGAUCUUGAGAUCGGAAGAGGUGAGUGGAAUUCCCAGUGUAGAGGUGAAAUUCGUAGAUAUUGGGAAGAACACCAGUGGCGAAGGCGGCUCACUGGUCCGAUACUGACGCUGAGGCGCGACAGCGUGGGGAGCAAACAGG